UUUCAUGACAUUCAUUAAUUGUCCAUGUCGCACUUUAUCGAAUGCUUUAUUAUAAUCAAUAAAACACGCAUUUAUAUCUUGAUGGACGUCCAGGCACCUUUGUAUUAGUAUAUUAAGUGAAAAAAGAGCUUCACGCGUUCCUAGGCGUUUCUGAUUAUUUAUAGCUGGCGAUUAUUAUAUUGAUACUGUAGUAAUCAUGAAUAUUUUGCUGGAGUACAUCUGGGGUCGACUUCAAAGUUACUUUGGGAGAGCUACAAAGCUACAACGCAAAUAGUAACUAAAUGGAACGGUUUUAGAUAAAAGAGGAGAUACAUUUUAUUGGAAUAAUUUAUGGCGAAGUUGUAGAAUUGUGUAGAGAUUUGGGGAUUUGCAAAAUCUUUAAGUGUUCAAUAUAUUUGAAAAUGAAAACAACUUGGUUAUGUGUACAGCUAUAGCAAAAAAUAGUUUUCAGUCUGAAUCCAUGAAAAAUAAAAAACAAUAACAAACAAAAUGCGGAAAUCCAUAUAAUAAACAUUAUUUAAAAAAAGAUGAAAUUUCACCAAACAAUCACAUCGCUUUAAAUUAUUUACGUUUCAAUUUUUUUUAUGUGGACCUUCUUUAUUUUCUAAAUAUUUAUAUUUGAAAACGGUGUAUGUAACGACUCCUAUUGAAAUGUUUAAAAAAUACGAAUAUAACAGAAACGUUCUGUAACGUAGAAUAUUAGAUAACGUGUUGGUCGUAAAACGUUCGUUAGCAAUUAGUAAAUCUUGUACAAUUAAAAGGUAUACAUUAAUGCCUGGUUGCACCAACAAAUCUUAAGCUCCAGCUUAGCCCAGCUCAGCUUAUAGAUAGGCUUUAAGUCUCACUUACGUUGUAUCAUAAUUUUCGAUUCCUAUCUAAGCAUGUCCUAACUGAGACGAAAUUUAAGAUGCAAUCCACGUGGGAAACCAUUAUGGCAAGCUGAAAGUUGAUCUAAGACUCGCAAAAAUCUAAGACUCAUGGUGCAACGUUUAAGAUCCGUUGGUGCAACCAGGUAUAUAUAUUUCUUCGAGAGGUUCGUGGUUCAAAUAGCGCUGUCAAAUGUUUCGAAAUGGGACACCCUGUAUUUAAGUUUAAUUUGAAAGUAGGCAUUCAAAAAAUCCUAGUGCAAUAAAUGGCCUGUUUCCUUCAACAAAUUGCUCAUUAAAAUAACAUAUCUUGUGUCGGUGGUAACAGUUUAAAAGAAUAAACCUAGAAUAUUUACCACCAUUUACAACCAUUUACCAAGGAAAACAAAGAAGCAGCAGCUUUCUUUGUUUUCCUUGGGGACUUUUCUGCUUUUCUGCAGCUUCCUCUUUGUUUUCUUAGCAAGCUUUGGCUCUUCUUCUUCUAGUGCAUCAGAUUCCUCUGGUUCUGCAACUUCUUCUGGAACAGGAGAUUCCCCUUUUUUUGCUCCCUGUUUGUUGGGAGUACGUUUGGAUCUCUCAGGUUUGGCUUUCUUAACUACAGCUUCGUUUUUGACUGGUUUCUUUGACCUUCCUUUUGGGGACCGUUUGGAAACUUCAUCCUGACGUUCCAGAACUACGGAAAUAUUAUCAUCAUCUACAGUUCCAUUAGUUUUCUUAGCUCUUUCAUUACGUUUUUAUAGUUCAGGAACUUCAUCCUGGUUUUCAUCAUCUACACUGUCAUUAGCUAUUACUUUUUCUAGGUUAGCUUUCCUUCCUCUCUUCUGUUUAACAUGCUUUGCCUGUGAAGAUUGAGUUGCAGCAUCCACUUCCACUUUGACUACUUUUCUGUUAGGUGGCAUGUUAAUAAAAAAAGUGGCAGAUCUGCCCACAUCAAACAAGUUGACACUGCACUAAAUGAGACAUACAACAUAGUAAUGGGGUGCAUGAAACCAACGUCACUCUCAAAUCUAUAUAAAGCAGCGGGUUUUGCAGAACCCUCAACACGCAGAGGAGUAGCAGAGCACAUAGAGGAUAUUAAACAGAUCGUGGAUUUUUGCUUCUCAUUCUUUAGCUUUUUAUUGGCUUGUGUUUCGAUUUAUUUGCCAUUCUUUACUUUUUCCUUUAAGAUUAUUAAUCUCUUCAUGUUCUCUAUGAUGAGUAGUUCUUUGUAGUUAUACUUUUCUUGUUGACCACUCAACUGUUGAAUAAGGCCAUUCAUUUUUUUCAAUUCACUCUCAUUUGUAGCAAGUAGUUCAUCUUUUUUCGGCGUCUCCCAGAGCUGCAAAAAUAUACUGCCUCCUCUUACUGUAGCACUACCGCUAAGAGUACCAGAUGGUUCGAUAACAUUACCAUCUAGAGUCCCACAUUUUCUCCUGAUUUUGUCGUGGAAAGAGAUCUACUUUUUCUUCCUCAUGUGCCAUCUCCUCUAAGAACGUCGCCAACCAUCAUGUCAAUUCGCACUUUCGAUGCCACUGCUCUAAAGAGAUCAGCAGAAGCGCAGUUAAACCAAGCUUUCAAAUUGUUUAACCGGGAGAUGCGCCUUCUUCCACGACUUCUUCUACCCUGUAUUCUUCCUUGUAUUACUCAUUGCAACAAGUUGUAACGCCCGUCCCUCAUGACAUGGCCCAGAUAUUAUAGUUUUCUAACUUUAAUUGAAUUUAAAACCUCUCUUUUCCCAUUCUUCUCAACGCCUCAACAUUCGUGACUCUAUCCACCCAACUUAUUCUUAAUAUCCUUCUGUAGGCCCAUCACUCGAAGACUUCUAGAUCUGCUGGGCAAUACUUAAAUCUCUACAGAUAAAAACAUUGCCGAAGAAGAACUACAUUGCGCUCUGGAGUUCUCUGUCAUACUCUAUUGGUGACAUGGCUGGUUUACAAUUGACCAUUCCAAAUCACGUGAUAUAAUAUGGCCGGAGGAGGGCAAAAAUUUAAUAAUAUAGGGCAGGGUUUACAUAAGUUUUUGUAAAGAAUAUCCUGUUUGGUUUUGUUUUUUAUUGUUAAUUGUGCAGCGAAAUUGUGAUAGCAAAUAAAUAUAAAGUAGUUUAUCGUCUACAGAACUGAAUUAUCCCAUAGUAGUUAUUGGCACAAACUGGUAACUACUAUGGGAUAAUUCAGUUCUGUAGGCGAUAAACCACUUCAUAUUUAAUUUGUUAUCACAAUUUCGCAGAUUUCCCUACACAAUUAACAAAAAAAAAAACAACCAAACAGGAUUUUCUUUACAAAUUAAUGUCGAUGUAAACAUUAGAUUUUGCCCUCCUCCGGCCAUGUUUGACAGUUCAUUGGAAUGCCUAAUUGUCAGCACCAACCAAUUUUUGUGGUACCAACUAUUGAAAGUCACUACGUUGACAUAAAUGUGUUACCAACUAUUGAAAAAAAAUUGUGAAAAACAUCGGUUUAAAUGUGAAUUGAUUUAUGUUCAUUAAAUCACUUUUAAAAGAGUGAUUUUUUAAAUUAUAAUAGUAAAGUAGUGCUCUUUACUAUUUUCAUUUAUGACAGAUGAAUAGGAAUUUCUGAAUUACCCGUGGUGUAUAUUUUGACAGUUUUAAAGAUUUACUGAUAGCUCUAAUGGACGUUGGUUAAAUAUGUUCUAUUUUACAUACUUAUUGUGAAAGUCACUAAAUAAUAUACUAAGGAAGGUGGGACCUAAAUGAAAAUAUUUGGAAAUAUUAAAAAUUAAAAUAAAAUUUUAAAUUGUAAAGCAAAAACAAAUUGAUCUUUAAAAAAUGGAUCUUACUCAACAAGGUAUAUUAUUGUAACUGUUUCAUAAUUUUUGUAGUUGUAAAUCGUAGCAGAUAAUUGUGCCAUAGAAAAUCUAUUUUAUGCACUUUUAAUGAAUUUUCUCUUUAAGGUUAUAUUUGUGCAAUUAAGUGUUAAGUUUGGAAAAAAAGGAGAAAAAAAAACAAUUAUAUAUUUUUAAUAACCAUAUCUGUUUAGAGAGAAAACUUAGAAAGAGAAAAUUGUACAGUUUUUCUAUUUGUUAAGGUUAAUCUGGUGAUAUUUUCCAUUCAUUGUAAAUAAUUUUUAUCGAAACAUAUUUUACUACUUAGUUUUUUAAAGGAUUGAUUGACAUGAAAAAGUAUUUCUACUAGAUGCAUUUAAUUUGCUGAUUUUAUCAGGCUUCCAUGAAAUUACAAUAAUAUUAUCAAUGAGUAAACAAUCAGUAAGAAACACAAGGUAAACAAGAAGACCUGGCUGGAGGGUAGUGGAGGUUUAUCAACCCUAGACCCAAAGUUGCAAUUUGUUUGUUAAAAAGUGUUUUUGAUGCAUUAUGAAAUUUUUAAAAUCUAUUAAUUUACAGAGUUCUGAAUAGUUUUAUGAAAUAUAAUGAUCCAUUUUCAAAAAGAUCUUAUUGAAUAUUUUUGGUUUAAAGGAAAAAUCUUAGGAGUUACAGAGCACUAAUUGAAAAAAAAAAGAAGAUUUAGGAGUGCUAAUUUGUUUAUAAAUAAAAUAACACACUUUCUGCGGACUUAUAAUAAAAUAGCUGGUAAAUAUCUUUUCCCAAAAAUGACAUUUUUUCGAUAAUUUGCUCGAGACUAUCAACUAACGUUGCGGUGGUUGCAUAGCCAAUAAAUCCAAUAAACAGGAGGACCAACCCAAAUUCCGAGCAGUGUCAAAAUGAUAACGUUAAUAGUUGGAACUAAUAUAGAAAUGAAUAAGAAUCACUCUAAAAUGGCGACUGUCAUGGCGGAGUCGAAAUUAAAUUGCGACCUCGAAAUGAAUUAGAAUCAGGCCCCUGGCAUCUUCCGACUGAUCUUUUGCCCUGUACUUUACUUGCCAAUAUGAUUUGGAGGAAUUCCUAUCUUUCACCUAUAAACACAUGCUUCAAGUAUUGUAUUUUCCUCUCUGAUUAUUCUUAGUAAUUAUUUUGUUUACUCAUGCGCCGAAGUAUCUCAUUGCUAGUAACUUUGUGUGCCCAUUCAAAAAGAGAGGUCAUCUUAGUUUUAAUGAAACUUUACACUUAUCACUGAGUAUGUUUGGGUAGGUGUAGACCGUACUGCGCUACUAUUGGCUCUCACAAGGCUACGUACAGCUCUAGGAAACUUUAUAAAAUCAUUGAAAAACAAAA
rnacentral:lncRNA from 1 species